rnacentral:rRNA from 1 species
GUACAAUUACUUUGAACAAAUUAGAGUGCUUAAAGCAGGCUCUUAAUGCCUGAAUAUUCUGUGCAUGGAAUAAUGGAAUAAGACCUCUGUUCUAAUUUCAUUGGUUUUUAGAUCAAGAGGUAAUGAUUAAUAGAAGCAGUUGGGGGCAUUAGUAUUACGACGCGAGAGGUGAAAUUCUUGGACCGUCGUAAGACUAACUUAAGCGAAAGCAUUUGCCAAAGAUGUUUUCAUUAAUCAAGAACGAAAGUUAGAGGUUCGAAGGCGAUCAGAUACCGCCCUAGUUCUAACCAUAANCGAUGCCANCCAGCAAUUGGGUGUAGCUACUANUAUGGCUCUCUCAGUCGCUUCCCGGG